AAUAUAUAAAUUAAAGAAUAUUCUCAAAAUGUGUCCUGUUAUCUUUAAAAACAAUUGUCCAAAAAAAAAAAAAAAAACAGCGAAUUGCUUAUUAAUUAAAAUAAUAUUUUCAGAAUGCGUCCUGCUGUGUUAAAUAAAAUAUGUGUAUAUAUAUAUGGAGAUUUGCAGUUAUGUUGAGGAAUGUCUUAGGGUAUUCUUCAACAGCUAAUUAUUUACAAUGCCAAGC